UCGCCUCUCUUCAUAGAUCAUUCAAAUUUUUAUGUCUCGUAAUUUAUGGGCGCCGAACGAGCUUAUUUAUUUCUGUUUUGAGGCUCUUCCAUAUAUAAGCCUGUUAUCAUUCUUGGAACCUCUUCAUUCGUGAGUUUUGAUCAAGGGAUUACUGUCUCCUCGUCCGACAUCAUGUGUGCGUUUAAGAUUGUUCUUUGUCUGGCCCUCUGCGCCGUAGUCGCCUGCCAAAACCAGGGCGCCAACCAAUUCCAACAACAAGGCCAGCAGCAAAACUUUGAUCAGCCACAGCAAUACCAGCCUCAACAGCCACAACAGCAGCAGCAGCAGUCAUUCCAGCCUCAGCAAUCACAAUUGUUCCAACCACAACAGACGCAACAAUUCCAAUCACCGCAAUUCAACUCAUUCCCGCAAUUCCAACAACAGCAGCAGCAGCCAUUCCAGCCGCAAGAGCAACCCAACUUCGGCGGUGAGUCAGACGAGAAGCAGGACGACAACCAGUCGCCGCCGCAACAAGAUCAGUCCCCGAGUCCCCAGGGAGGCCAAUCCUUCGGUCAAAGCUCCCCGAGCCAACCCCAAAGCAACUCCUUCCCCUCCUUCCCGUCUUUCGACUCCAACUCCUUCUCCUUCGGGGUGGAUUCUACAACCAGAAACCCCUCGGUCUCGGCGACAAGAGAUUCAGCGUCGUCGGCCCUGAUGGCUUCACCAGAACCGUAGACUACACCAACGUCUUCAACGACGAACAUGCUGACCUCCCCGCUAACCUUCCUCCAGCAUCCGUCUACAAGUACGCACCCUACGCCUCCAGCAUCCCGACCUUCUACCGACCUGCCGUUGCUGUCCGACCUGCAGUGACCACCCUCCACGCUCCUGCUGUCACCGCCUACCACGCACCCAUCACCACGUACCACGCACCGGCCGUUGUUCCUGCUGCCGUCCAUGCCCCGGUCGUCACCGCAGUCCGCACUCCUGUCGUCAGCACGGUCCAUGCUCCGGUCGUCACAGCUGUCCGCCCGCCCGUUGUCAGCACCGUCGCCGCCGCACCGGUUGUAGCAGCCGUUCGCACACCGGUUGUCAGCGCUGUCCAUGCUCCGGUUGUUACUGCCGUUCAUCCACCUGUUGCCUACGCCGCUUACCCUAGGUACCAGUCCGUCUCUUAUGUAGGUUAGUAAGUCUUCUCGCAGUCAAUCCCACUGUGUAUUUAUUCCCAUGUAGAAGUUUUUAUCAGGUGUUUAAUGAUGUUACCAAAAUGAAGUUCCUCGUCCAUUUUUAUAACUAAAUUAUUAAAUUAUUUUUUGAACGAAUUCCGUGUACUUUUUUCUGUGUGUUUGAUUUUAAAAGAUCCUCCCUUGCGUACAUUGAAAAAAUGAUUUAAAAAGAAUGUCUUAUACUAAAACAAAAUGCUCUGCGAUUUAAAGAACACUUUUGAGGGUUUAGAAUUUCUUUAUUUGAAGGGAAGUUUUUUGAGUGAAAUAUGAAACUGUUCUUCAGUAAACUGAGUUUUUUUUUUAAUUUAGAGAAUAUUAAAUUUGUCAUCGAUAAGAAAGUAACGUUACUUUGAAUUGAAAAAUACGGGCAUGACUUGGAAAAAAAGUCUCUUUCACUUCGAGAAGUUUUUCUUUACAUGUAAAGAAAAUUUUACUUUAUCACAACAAUUUUCAAUCGGCGAGAUUUUAGUUUUAAUUAGAAAAUAUAGGUUUUAAACGUAUGUUUCAGUACCACCCUGGUAACUCAACUUUUAAAACUGUGUCAAAUGAUAAAAAAUAAAAUGAAAUAAUGUAAUCAACUUUAUUCAGAUC
rnacentral:lncRNA from 1 species